rnacentral:piRNA from 1 species
UGACCCCAGUAAAUGCCUAUUGUGGAGAAA